UGGGCCUAUAAUCAAAAAUCUAAAUACAGGUUUAGAUUCAGCAUAUCAAAGAACCCCAAGGAUUCAAUUUUUGUUGAUAUCAAACAAAGUUUAAUUUUGGACCAACUUGAAAACUGGGCCCAUAAUAAAAAUUAUAAGUACAUGUUUAGAUUCAGCAUAUCAAAGAACCCCAAGGAUUCAAUUUUUGUUGAAAUCAAACAAAGUUUAAUAUUGGAC
rnacentral:lncRNA from 1 species